CAGGACGCCCAGUUCAAUUUGAAGUCCAGAUGAACAAUGAAUAGUUUUAGUAUAAGUAUAUCCCAUACAAUAUUUGGGACCUACUUAUACUAAAAAUUUUGUAUUUAUCUGAAAUUUGAAUUUAGCUGUGUUU
rnacentral:miRNA from 1 species